rnacentral:rRNA from 1 species
UACGUAGGGUGCGAGCGUUAAUCGGAAUUACUGGGCGUAAAGCGUGCGCAGGCGGUUUUGUAAGCCAGAUGUGAAAUCCCCGGGCUUAACCUGGGAACUGCAUUGGUGACUGGCGGGCUGGAGUAUGGCAGAGGGGGGUAGAAUUCCGACGUGUAGCAGUGAAAUGCGUAGAGAUGUGGAGGAAUACCGAUGGCGAAGGCAGCCCCCUGGGCCAAUACUGACGCUCAUGCACGAAAGCGUGGGGAGCAAACAGG